rnacentral:rRNA from 1 species
AGAGUUUGAUCCUGGCUCAGAUUGAACGCUGGCGGCAGGCCUAACACAUGCAAGUCGAGCGCGAAAAGUUUUCGGACUUAGUAAAGCGGCGGACGGGUGAGUAACGCGUGGGAAUCUGCCCAGUAGUGGGGGACAACAGCCGGAAACGGCUGCUAAUACCGCAUACGCCCUACGGGGGAAAGGGGGGGAUCUUCGGACCUCUCGCUAUUGGAUGAGCCCGCGUCGGAUUAGCUAGUUGGUAGGGUAAAGGCCUACCAAGGCUACGAUCCGUAACUGGUCUGAGAGGAUGAUCAGUCACACUGGAACUGAGACACGGUCCAGACUCCUACGGGAGGCAGCAGUGGGGAAUAUUGGACAAUGGGGGAAACCCUGAUCCAGCCAUGCCGCGUGUGUGAAGAAGGCCUUAGUGUUGUAAAGCACUUUCAGUGGGGAGAAAGGUUUGUCACCUAAUACGUGAUGAAAUUGAUGUUACCCACAGAAGAAGCACCGGCUAACUCCGUGCCAGCAGCCGCGGUAAUACGGAGGGUGCAAGCGUUAAUCGGAAUUACUGGGCGUAAAGCGCACGUAGGUGGUUCGCUAAGUCAGCUGUGAAAUCCCCGGGCUCAACCUGUGACUUGCAGUUGAAACUGGUGAGCUAGAGUA